rnacentral:rRNA from 1 species
UACGUAGGGUGCGAGCGUUGUCCGGAAUUACUGGGCGUAAAGGGCCAGUAGGCGGCCAACUAAGUCGGAUGUGAAAUCCCCAGGCUCAACCUGGGAACUGCAUCCGAUACUGGAUGGCUUGAAUUCGGGAGAGGGAUGCAGAAUUCCAGGUGUAGCGGUGAAAUGCGUAGAUAUCUGGAGGAAUACCGGUGGCGAAGGCGGCAUCCUGGACCGACAUUGACGCUGAACGGCGAAAGCUAGGGGAGCAAACGGG